rnacentral:ncRNA from 1 species
ACAAAUGCAAUGAAGGGAAUAAGUAAUUUCGCAUCGGAAGCAACAGAAAGCAGCCGGUUGAUGAGAGGCGCAGUGAAAGUACGGAAUGAAUACCUCCCUGAGCAGCUUUACUGAACAGUAUUGGAUGAUAGCUGAUAAUAACCGACAAUAACGGUGGCGAUAUCAGUAUAUACUAACUAGGUAAAGACGGAAUGGCAGACGUUAACCUGCUUUGAGUAUGAAUGUACAUCAAUCAAUACUUGAUAAGAUAUGCAGCGUGAGCUGUAUGUGAAUAAAGGUGGUAACACGGGAAGAGCCCUCGUCCUUUUG